AAAACACAAAAUCAGUCUCAAAUAGGUGAGAGCGCCAUUCUAUUUGUAAAGGGAGGCGAGAUAAAAAGAAAGCCUAGUCUCGCUCUCCCUACUCCCAAACCCAAACGCCGUCUUCUCUUCUAUCUCAGUUUCCGCAACAACAACCGAAACGCUCUCUCGUCAAUCUUCUCUCUGCUAGGGUUUUGGUUUUUCUCUACUUUCCUCGGCGAUUCUUCAUUAUUCUCACUUGCUUCGACGGUAUUUUCAACAAAGGGCUUCGAUUUUCGUUCGCACAUUCUGUUGCUAACUG